CCGACAUCAAGCACUGAGAUUUACCAGCCACACCUAAUUCUGGGAAAGGCCAAAUGAGAAAGGCAUGUCUCUCACACAUGACGCCUCUCUUUAUGUUCUGUACCUGGUGUGUUAGUUUCCUGUGCCUGCCCUAACAAAGCACCACAAACCAGGUCUUUGAGGAAUCACCACACUGUCUUCCACAAUGGUUGAACUAAUUUACUUUCCCACCAACGGUGUAAAAAGGGGAAAAAGAAAUCCUUCCAUUCUCUAAACUAGCUUGAGUUGAUUUAUAUCACAGCAUCUCCAAGAGCAUAGAUCUUCUGCUACACGACAGGGCCAGGGCCAGGACACCACUUUCAGCUCCAGGCAAUUGCACUGAGGACUCAGUGACACAACCGUGUGAAGUGCCUGCUUCCCCUUCGCCUUCUGCCAUGAUUGGAAGCUUCCUGAGGCCUCUACAGAAGCAGAAGCCGCUAUGCUUCCUGUACAGCUUGCAGAACUAUGAGCCAAUUAAACCUCUUUUCUUUAUUAAUUACCCAGUCUCAGGUAUUUCUUUAGAGCAGUGUGAGAAUGGAUUAAUACACCCAUUCUAAGCCA
rnacentral:lncRNA from 10 species